AAAAAACCCAAACCAACCAACCAAAAAAAAAACAACCUAGAAUCAUAGGGUAUGUAAUACCAGCAUAAGACAGAAAUAGACCCGAUGAACUAGCUUUGCUUGAGAAUAUGAUUGUUGUUCCUGAAAUACUACCAAAAACUAUGGAGGCAGGAGAAGACAUAGAGUGAUGUGUAGCACCCAGUGGAGUUUGACUUUCCAACAAUAUAAAGCUACUCUGGUUUGUAAUGGUUCGAGCCAUGUCUCGAUCUUGCAGACUUUGUCUCAGGUAAAACUGUCAGUUGGGACAGUAGAAUUUGUACUGGGGUAAAUUAUUUUAAUGAGGAUUUCUUGGUGCGUGUUCGUGAUAAAUUUACUAUUAUGUUACAGUGAUAUAUCUUGACUAUUUUUUUUCUCCUGUACACUAAGGUGUUUAAUAGUUUAACAUUCUAAUGACUAAAGUAGAAAAGAAGUUUGCUCCCAAGGAUAUUGUAUGGACUGUUCAGCAAGUUGCUGCAAUUUAAACUGAAAAAAAAAAAAAAAAAAAAAAAAAGAAGAUAUAAAACCUUAACCUUUUCAGACCAUCCCCCAAACCAGGUUUUUAGUGGAGGCCCUAUCUGACCCAGCUAAGGUUGACUGAUUCCUUAGGAGCUGAGCCAAAUGUUUAAAAUUAAACAAACUACCAGCAAUGUAAAAAUUCUGCCUCACUAUGGUCUGAGUCUUACCACAGGCUUUGGUAGGAAUAUGACAAGCCUCUCUUUUAUAUGUAUCCUGCUUUAAAACUAUAGUGUAACCCAAUCUAAAGUUAAUGGGAUUUUGUAUAUAAGGCAUUCUCAGCUGAACUUAUGCAAAAUGAGUUUUUUUCUCUGAAUGAGGAGAUUGCCUUUUAUAGUGGUACCUACACCUGCAGUAUAGCUUUACAGAUGAUAGAAAUUUGGCAUAUGUGAAGGAAAAGUCAAAUAAACAAUCGUAUUGUAAUAUGAACCAGACUUUGCUGCCACCUGCAACUAUAGCAUAAUCUCAAAUUGAUCUGAGAAUUGACAUUAAUAUCCUGCUUUUUCUACUUGCAAUCUCUUUCAUCUUUCAAAUGUAAAUAGCCUUACGCCAUUUUGCACUGUGUUUAAAAAAUAAAAAGCUAAAAAAAACUACUUUUGCAUUCAAAUGUGCCUAAAAAAAUUAAAAUAAUAAUAAAAAAAGUAUAUGCUGCCAUCUUGCAAAUUAGUAUGCUCUGUACUCCUGUGUGCCUAUAAUUAGAAGUCUGUUUCUUCAGAAAGUGCCCACUGGAAAAUGAAGAGAUAGACUGCUGGUCUCGAGACUUUCAUUAACAAGCCACUUUAUGUAUCACCUUAUUGUAUAUAUGAUAAAACUGAUGCUUUUGUGUGCAUUAUGUAGUCUUUCAAUGGAAAGUCCUUUAUUUGGUAUAGACUCAGCUGCCAUAAUGUAUUUGUUGAAGUAUUCUGUUCUUUCACUGAUGCAUAUAAAAUUAUUCAUGUCU
rnacentral:lncRNA from 1 species